CAGUAGCCGCGGGAAUACGGAGGAUCCAAGCGUUAUCCGGAAUCAUUGGGUUUAAAGGGUCCGUAGGCGGUCUUGUAAGUCAGUGGUGAAAGCCCAUCGCUCAACGGUGGAACGGCCAUUGAUACUGCAGGACUUAAUUAUUGGGAAGUAACUAGAAUAUGUAGUGUAGCGGUGAAAUGCUUAGAGAUUACAUGGAAUACCAAUUGCGAAGGCAGGUUACUACCAAUUGAUUGACGCUGAUGGACGAAAGCGUGGGUAGCGAACAGGAUUAGAUACCCCAGUAGUCCCUGUCUCUUAUACA
rnacentral:rRNA from 1 species